UAGGGAAUCUUCCACAAUGGGCGAAAGCCUGAUGGAGCAACGCCGCGUGUGUGAUGAAGGCUUUAGGGUCGUAAAGCACUGUUGUAUGGGAAGAAAUGCUAGAAUAGGGAAUGAUUCUAGUUCGACGGUACCAUACCAGAAAGGGACGGCUAAAUACGUGCCAGCAGCCGCGGUAAUACGUAUGUCCCGAGCGUUAUCCGGAUUUAUUGGGCGUAAAGCGAGCGCAGACGGUUGAUUAAGUCUGAUGUGAAAGCCCGGAGCUCAACUCCGGAAUGGCAUUGGAAACUGGUUAACUUGAGUGUUGUAGAGGUAAGUGGAACUCCAUGUGUAGCGGUGGAAUGCGUAGAUAUAUGGAAGAACACCAGUGGCGAAGGCGGCUUACUGGACAACAACUGACGUUGAGGCUCGAAAGUGUGGGUAGCAAACAGGAUUAGAUACCCUGGUAGUCCACACCGUAAACGAUGAAUACUAGGUGUUAGGAGGUUUCCGCCUCUUAGUGCCGAAGCUAACGCAUUAAGUAUUCCGCCUGGGGAGUACGACCGCAAGGNUG
rnacentral:rRNA from 1 species